GCCUUGGUGGUGAAAUAGUAGACACGCAAGACUCAAAAUCUCUUGCUAAAGAGCGUGGAGGUUCGAGCCCUUCUCAAGGCA
rfam:Capsicum annuum cultivar Zunla-1 chromosome 3, whole genome shotgun sequence